rnacentral:rRNA from 1 species
AUUGAACGCUGGCGGCAUGCUUUACACAUGCAAGUCGGACGGCAGCACAGAGAAGCUUGCUUCUUGGGUGGCGAGUGGCGAACGGGUGAGUAAUAUAUCGGAACGUACCGAGUAAUGGGGGAUAACUAAUCGAAAGAUUAGCUAAUACCGCAUAUUCUCUGAGGAGGAAAGCAGGGGACCUUCGGGCCUUGCGUUAUUCGAGCGGCCGAUAUCUGAUUAGCUAGUUGGUGGGGUAAAGGCCUACCAAGGCGACGAUCAGUAGCGGGUCUGAGAGGAUGAUCCGCCACACUGGGACUGAGACACGGCCCAGACUCCUACGGGAGGCAGCAGUGGGGAAUUUUGGACAAUGGGCGCAAGCCUGAUCCAGCCAUGCCGCGUGUCUGAAGAAGGCCUUCGGGUUGUAAAGGACUUUUGUCAGGGAAGAAAGGGCUGUUGCUAAUAUCAAUAGCUGAUGACGGUACCUGAAGAAUAAGCACCGGCUAACUACGUG